GAACGAACGCUGGCGGCAUGCCUAACACAUGCAAGUCGAACGAGACCUUCGGGUCUAGUGGCGCACGGGUGCGUAACGCGUGGGAAUCUGCCCUUGGGUUCGGAAUAACAGUUGGAAACGACUGCUAAUACCGGAUGAUGACGUAAGUCCAAAGAUUUAUCGCCCAAGGAUGAGCCCGCGUAGGAUUAGCUAGUUGGUGAGGUAAAGGCUCACCAAGGCGACGAUCCUUAGCUGGUCUGAGAGGAUGAUCAGCCACACUGGGACUGAGACGCGGCCCAGACUCCUACGGGAGGCAGCAGUGGGGAAUAUUGGACAAUGGGCGAAAGCCUGAUCCAGCAAUGCCGCGUGAGUGAUGAAGGCCUUAGGGUUGUAAAGCUCUUUUACCCGGGAUGAUAAUGACAGUACCGGGAGAAUAAGCUCCGGCUAACUCCGUG
rnacentral:rRNA from 1 species